UAAGAUCCUCCCAGACCCUCUACGUGUCAAAAUAUGAUUGCUGGCGUUUAUUUUUUUGAUUUUUUCUGCAUUUGGUUAUCUCUCUCUUUCGAAAGAAACGAGAGAAGAGAUGGAGAGAAGAAUCGAUUUUUCACAAUUUGGUACCCAACCCAUCGGUUUCCAAAUAAAAUUGAUCUGUUCAAUUCUGGGUAUUAAUCGAUUGAUUUCUGGGGAGAAGACGACAAAGAGAACGGUGGUAAGAGGGAUCGUGGGGAGGAAAAGAGACAUAGGAGCAGCAGAGAUAAGGAGAGAGAGAGGGAUAAGGUAUGGUGAAGGAAUUAACAGGUGACUACAAAAUCAAGUAUCAUGCUAAUGGGUACGAUAAGGAGCCGAUUGAAAUAGACUUCACUCCUCCAUUCAGAAACUGAUUUGCGGCGCACAGCUAUCUGGAUGUCUACAAUUUUUCUUAUGCUACAGAUGCAGUUCCUUGAGAAUAGAGUGGCUUUGGAACUUACAAGGUCUGAUUAUGUUGAAGCAGAAGAGGUAUAUCAUCGGUUAUUUUUUUGUUUUUUUAAUAUUUGUUGUUGCCUCCCUUCACCACUCCACUGUGAUACAAUUAUUUAUCUGAGUUAACCAGCUCUGUAUGCAUAAUCGAUCAAGCCCCCUCACAUUAGGCCCUAUUAGCGGUCUUCUCUAGCAUCAUGCUUUCUUGAAGGAAAAUUUUACUCUUUAAGUAUCGUUUGUGCAGGCUUUAGUUGAGAUGAAAAAUUUGUUUACUCGACCAAGAGUUUUACUAUAUAAAGGAAGCUAUGGUUGAAGAAACAAGAUAUGCACAAACGCAGACACAUAAGAAGCUUAUACAUUGGUGGCAGCUACAGGGCACAACGUAGGGUGUUGUGCAGUGCAGAUGCAGAGAUGUAGAGCGCAGUGCAGAGAGCAUGCACAGGGUGUCGUACAUGGAGCUUGAAGCUGUUCGCACAAACAUGAUAAAGGAGCAGAAGCUUGGCUAGAGUCAAAGGGCUGAGAGCCGGACAUAACCUUGUCUAGGUUUAAGGUGUCUUCAGGACACUCUGAUGAGAGACGAAUAUGGAGUUGCUUCUUUGGGGUUCUGUAGGUGUUUCAGGGUUAUACAUGGAGGGGAGAGCUGUACCAUAGACAUAGAGAGGAGAAGAAGAAAAGUAUCUACUAUGUGUUUUCUUCUUUGAUUGCUUUAUAGUAGUUCUCUAAGUUUGUAUAUGAAACACUGUGUGUAAACUUUGGUUGAUUGAUAGUGGAUGUAUGUGGGAGAAGGUUCUCACACGAGAUGUACUCUCUACAUGAGGGAAACUCGUUAAAUCUAUGUGUUAUGUUUAUGUUAUACAUAUUAAUCUGUGAAGUAGACAAGGAGUAAGGGCAGAGUCGCGGUAUGUGGUUCACUACAGAGGUGAAUCGGGGUCUGCAAUUCUCAACAAGUGGUAUUAGAGCCAGGCUUGGGAUUUCACAGAUUCAGGCAUGACGCCGUAAGCAUACAAGGAGGAUCCAGAAACUGUUGUAGAAGCCUCGAAGGUUAAAUCAAUUAUGGGGUUGGUUGAAGGUGGAGUUAUCAAUAGUGUUUGAUUCAGGUUCAUGGUUGUGAAAUGUGAAUCAAAGCAUCAUCUAAUAGGCUCAAACUUAUCAAAACAAGAGUUCAGUUUUCGCUGCAGUCACAAGGUACUUGUAAUGUUUUGUUUUGAAGCGUCUGAAUACUCAAAACUGUUUCAGUUUAGGGAAUCUAGACACAAGAAGAACACAAGGAAGUAGACGUCUUCAACUAUUGGAAAGUAAAGAUGGUAUUUUUUUUGGUCUGGUUGUUGAAAGUCUGUGUGGUGGUAUUCAAUGAAGAUGGACCAGACAAUUUAUGUUGAAGUGGUCAGUUUUGAGAGGUGUUGGGUGAAUGGUUAAGUCUCAAGAAUGAAUCAGGUUGUCAGAGAUUCGAAAGGACUACAAUCAAGGUAGGUUUACAGAGAUAUGAGAAUGCAGAGAGUAUCAAGAGUCAAAGUUGCAGUCAGUGAGAUUUUCUUUGUCAAGGUGGAGUUUGCUCUUCAAGGUGACUUAAAAUCUCUAGAAGACUUUUGUAGACGUUAUAUGACUGUGCAAGGGUUUAAAAGUAAGUGCAAAAAUUUAUAAGUCUGGCUCAAGGCGACUGGGGGUUGUGUUUCUGCAUUGAAGAGGGAAUCAAAAUCUGGAAAGUUUUGGUUUGACUGUUUGCAUCUACAGAGAUGAUCUAGUGGAUGAAUCUUCUGAAGGUAUCACUUGCAAGAAGUUUAAGUGUUUUGUUGAAACUUAAUGAGGUAGUUAUGUGAGUAUAAGGAGAAUAUUCAAUAGAUCUCAAUUGGUUAAAGAUGCAUGUUAUAAUAGACAAGAUUAGUAUAACAUUAGUGGGUCUAGUAGCAUCGUUAAGUUUCUCAGGAAAGUCACUUACAUGGAGGUUAAGUGAAGAUUCAUUAAUGGUGAAGACAUGUCAAGCUGAUGUUGAUGAAUAAUAAGAAAAGGGAUUCUAGAGUGAAGCACUAAAGGCUGUUACAAGAAGACUAGCGGAGGUUUUAAAGAUGUUGAUCGGACAUAUGUUUUAACAUGAGGUUGAACAGGAGGUUGUACUGUCAGUUCGUACAAGCUGGGUUCAAGAGUCAGUUGGUUAAACAGAUGGGAUGUAAAAUCAAUCACAAGAGUAAUGCAUUGGGUUGAGAUUGUUUUACAGGAUGAAUGAGGUAUUGUUCAGGUUUGAAGCAUGUAUGAUUCAUGUGUUUUGCAUGGGAUUCAGGAGAGUUUGGUUCAAGCUCAAUGCAUAUGAGGGGAAUCAAAGGUCGACCAAGUGAGUCAAGUUGCAGACGAAUACAGAUGAUAUACAAUCAUGAUAACAGGUCUAUGACGUUUAUCAGAAACCAUGGAAGAGGUUGUGUGAUUGUUUAAUCAUGUUCUGAGAGGUUGAUAUCUCAGGCUUUAUUGUUCUAAUGUUCUAAAGGUUUUCAAGACCAAAGUUUCAUAAGCAAGUCACGUGUUACCUGUGGGUGAAUCAGAAGUUCUGGUUCUAGGUGGGAGCUUUUGUGAGAAACAAGGGAAAUCAAGUAAAGGUCUUCAUAAGUGCUUCUAAGAUCAGGAGGAACAAGCUUGAAAAAGAUGAUUCGUGUAAGGAGUUACACGAAUUUGUUGUGACAGCUGAAGAGCACCAUAAGCUAUUAAGAGAAGUUGUCAAGAACAAUGGAGAAGAUGUAUGGCUUCGCAGACUGAAAUUUUGAAUAUAGUUGAUAUGUAUAUAUUUUGUCUCUCCUUAGCAAGUAUUCGUCAUGCAUUUAGCUAGGAUAACUCAUUGUUUUGCAUCAUUUUCUUGUCUCUUCUAUAUACUUUGCAUGUUUAGGUAGUUCUUGCAUCAUCUUGCAUACAUUGUGCAUUUUGGAAUAUUUCAGGUGUUUAGGAGAUGUCCAGACUGUUGGAACCAAAUGGAGGCUAAGACACGCGACUCGACCGACGCACUCCCAAGAUUGAUGACACGCGACUCGACCCACACUCCUGGGAGAGAAGCAAUGCGACUCGACCGACAUGCGACUUGGACGUGCUCCCAGGAAGAAGCACCAGCAUCCCACUCGACCGACCACGCCAGACAUCCGACUUCUUCCACCUCUUUGAUCGAGUCGAGUGAAGAUUUUAUAUGGGAUUCAGCUUUCAGCGUCUUCAUCAAAGUUGUAGAAAAUUGAGUCAUCUUUCUAAUUCCAUUUAUUUCAAGCCAAUCGGAGAUGUGGUUCAAUAGUUAUCAUCGUUUUUGUGGAUGCGUAUACACCCAGCUCGAGCCGACACCACUCCACUCGACCCAGCUCGAGCCAACACCACUCCACUCGACCCAGCUCGAGCCAACAUCACUCCACUAGAUCCAGCUCGACUCAACGCCACUCCACUCGACCCGUUUCACGCGCACCGACUCAACCGCACACAUCAAGAAGAAAGACGCUCCGAUUUAGCCAACCCGAUUCCCGAACCGACGCUCUAUCCUGUUGUUUUAUGUUUUAGGGCUUUUCAUGUUCUACUAUAAAAAAAUAUUUUUGUUAAGUCUUUACUUGGACAUCUCGUUUUUCCAAAAGUUUACCGAGCCACCUAAAACGUUUUGAGAUUUUGUUAU